UAAGCGAAAGGCCAAACCUACCGAGAGGUAGGGGCGGAAAGUCGCGGAUCCUAAGAUCCCGGAUUCUGGGAUCAAGGACAGCCGGACUGCCGAG
rnacentral:ncRNA from 1 species